rnacentral:lncRNA from 1 species
AAAACAGUUUCUUCCUUCAAGAGGGAAAAUAUCAGGGCACAGUCACAAUCAAAAGCAAAAGUCAAUUUCCAACAGUCCAAUGUCUGGGAUCCAACUCACGAUCUUCUGGGCUCCUCCAAGGGCUUGGGUCACUUCUCCAGCCAGGCCCUUUGUAGCACACACGUCAUCCUCUAGGUUCCAGAUGCCUGUACUCCACUGCUGCUGCUGCUCUUGGUGGUCAUCUCCUGGUACUGGCAUCUCCAAAACACUGCUUGACUCCUUCAGUCCUGGGCCAUCGAUUGCAACUGAGGCUGCAACUUCACCAAUGGCCUUCCAUGGCCUCUCACAGUGCCGAGCCUCAGCUGCUUUGCGUGACCCCUUCAUGCCUUCAAAACCAGUACCACCUGGGUGACCCUUACAUAUUACCAAGUCCUGCUGCAGCAGGAGUACAACCUUGGCCAUCUCUGGAACACAGCCUCUUUGUGCUUUCAGAAAACACUUCCCAAAAGAUGUCACCUCAAUGAUGCUGGUCUCUUCUUAAUCACCGCUAAUUUCUUAGCUCCAGCUAACCAGCAUCAAUAGUCCCAGUAAUGAAAAGUUUUUGCUUUGGUAGUUCUGGUAUCUUGUUAAUCACAGCUGAUUCUUCAGCCCCAGCUAACCAGAACUACAGAAUCUACACAUUCAAAACAGCAAUGGCCCUGAAAAGUCUUUAAUUUUCCCUCUGAAAUUUCACAAACCAGACCUCCAUCUUCUGCCGUGUUCUCAACAUUAUCUUCCAAGCUCCUACACAACAUCCUACAGAGCUCUUAACAACGGAUGGAUCUUCAAGCCCAAAGUUCCAAAGUCCUUCCACAGUGCUCCCCAAAACAUGGUCAGGUUGUCACAGGAGUACCCCACUCUGCUGGUACCAAUUUGUCUUAUUCAGGGUUUCUAUUCCUGCACAAACAUCAUGACCAAGAAGCAAGUUGGGGAGGAAAGGGUUCAUUCUGCUUACACUUCCAUACUGCUGUUCAUCACCAAGGAAGUCAGAACUGGAACUCAAGCAGGUCAGGAAGCAGGAGCUGAUGCAGAGGCCAUGGAGGGAUGUUCUUUACUGGCUUGCCACACCUGGCUUGCUCAGCCUGCUUUCUUAUAGAACCAAGACUACCAGCCCUGAGAUGGUCCCACCCACAAGGGGCCUUUCCCCCUUGAUCACUAAUUGAGAAAAUGCCUUACAGUUAGAUCUCAUGGAGGCAUUUCCUCAACUGAAGCUCCUUUCUCUGUGAUAACUCCAGCUGUGUCAAGUUGACACAAAACUAGCCAGUACACAUGUAUAAAGAAUUUUAAAGUCUUCAAAAAUCUUUUAAUUACCUGUCCUUAUUAAUUGACUAUCGUCUUUUUUUCUCUCAUGUUUUUGAAGAUAUAUUUUCCCCAGAAGGUCAUAUUAUUUCUCCUCUAUAGCCUCUAACCUUUCCACAUAGGCCUCGUUGACUUAAUAAUAUGCAUUGAGCUGUGACUUCGUGUGGUUUGUUAGUUUACUUCUUUUUAAUGCUUAGUAAUAUUUCCUUUGUCUAGAUAUACUGGUUUGUUUAUUCAUUUGCCUACUGAGGAACAUCUCAUUUGUUUCCAAGUUUGCCAGUUAUUAAUAUGGCUUUUAUGAUCAUGUGUAUGAAGGUUUUUAUGUUGACAUAGUUUUCAGUUCAUUUAGGUAAGCAUCAAGGAAUGUGGUUAUUUACACAGUAAGAGGAUAUUUCAUUUUGAGAGGAAAAAAAAAAAACUUGCAAAACUGCCACCCACCAUGACUGUCCUGUUUUCCUUGCCAUCAGCUGAGAAUAUUCACUGCUUCACAUUCUUACAGACGAUUGGUGGUGGGCUCAAUGUUGGCUUUUGUAGUAUGUAUGGAAGAGUGAGUGCCUAGUUGCUGUUUUAAUUUGUAAUUCUCUAGUAAAAGUGUUAGCAAAUUUACCCUUUAUAUGUUUACUCUCUUUUUCCAUCUGUUUCUUUUUAGACAAAGUCUCAUUCUGUAGCCCUGAGCUGUUUGGGAUUUUUGUAGCCCAGGCUGGCCCUUAACCAGACAUUGAUCUUCCUGCUUCAGUCUCCCAAGUGCUGGGAUUAUAGGUGUGAACCACUGAGUCCAGUUUCUUUUCCAUCUCUCUGUUGCUUAUCUCAGGAUCUUUGCCUGUACUCAUCAUAGUGCUCAGGUUUUUUACUUGUUUCAAGUUUUUUAAAAAAUAUUUUGAAUAGUUAUUUUAUCAUAUAUAUCCUUUAUAAUAUUCUCUCAGUGUUAAUGUAAGUCCAAAUUUUCAAUUAUUUCUUUCACAGCUCGUGUCUCUACUGUUAUACCUAAAAAGUCAUUGUCAGCCGAUCAUGGUGACGCACACCUUUUGAUCCCAGGGCUCAGAAGGCAGAGGCAGGUGGAUUUCUGAGUUCAAGGCCAGUCUGGUCUACAGAGUGAGUUCCAGGAGAGCCAGGGCUACACAGAAAAACCCUGUCUCGAAAAACAAAAACAAAAACAAACAAGUCAUUGUCAUAUUAAAAUCACCUACGUUUUCUUCUGUUGUCUUAUAGGCAUCUUAUAGUUUUGCAUAUUACAUGUAAAGUCUACAUUUUAUUUGAGUCAGUUGUUAAAGGUAUAAGAUCUUGAAUUUCCUUUUCCUUUCCUUUUUCCGUUUCCGUUUCCGUUUCCGUUUCCGUUUCCGUUUCCGUUUCCGUUUCCUUUCCUUUCCUUUCCUUUCCUUUCCUUUCCUUUCCUUUCCUUUCCUUUCCUUUCCUUUCCUUUCCUUUCCUUUCCUUUCCUUUCCUUUCCUUUCCUUUCCUUUCCUUUCCCUCCCUUCCCUCCCUUCCUUUUUCCUUCCUUUUUCCUUCCUUUCCUUCCUUUUUCCUUCCUUCCCUUUUUUCCCUUCCUUCCCUUCCUUUUUCCUUCCUUCCCUUCCCUUUCCUCCCCUCCCUCCUUCCCUCCCUCCCUCCCUCCCUCCCUCCCUUCUUCCUUCCUCCUUCCUUCCUUCCUUCCUUCCUUCCUUCCUUCCUUCCUUCCUUCCUUCCUUCCUUCCUUAUUAUGAUAGAGAUUGAACCUAGGGCUUUGAACAUGCUGGAUAAGUAAUCUACCACCAAGUGUAAUGUUAAAGGUCCUGCAAAGAAGCCCCAACAGGUCAUUUCAUGGAUCUGUGAAAGUGAUGUCUAAGUUGCAUUGAAGACCACAGAAUAUUGGAGAUUCCAGGACUAUGGAAACGGCAACUGUGGAGUGAAGCUGGUCUAAAAAUGAGCUAUGUUUGCUGCUGGAAGGAUGGAGCUCUACAGGCCUUUUGAGGUCCAGAUGAUUUUAUUAUGAUCUCCAGGAGCUGGACAUACAGCUGCAGGACUUAGUGGUUCUCUUCUGGGUUUUGGUUUUACUAUGAUCCAGUCUUUCCUUGCUGUGCCCCUUUAUGGUUGCUAGAAUGAAUGUGUUUAUUGCGUGCCAUUGUAUAUUGGAACUAUGUACCUUGUUUUUUAUUUUCAUGUUUUAAAUAUUUGUAGAUUUCAUAUGUGAGUGUACUGUUUGCAUCAUUUGCACUCUUCCUCCUCCUUCUCCUAAUUUCCUCCAUGUCUCACUUACUAUCCCUGUCUAAUUCAUGACCUCUCCUUCUGUAAUUGUAAGUAUAAGUUAUUUUGUUCAUAUAGAUUAUACACACAUAUAUUAACAUAACAUACUGUGUCUAAUUAGUGGGGAUAUAUGCAUAUAUUUAGGGCUGACUAUUCAGGAUUGAAAUAUUUUCUCUGAAAACUCUGGCUCACCCUCUCUCAUUAGCCAAUAGCUCUUUGUCUUGGGGCAGGGCCUUGUGAAAUUUUCCUCCAUCCACAUUGGCAUGUGAAUGAGCAGUGUCAUGAUGGUUAAUAUUGUCAACUUGUCAGAAUCUAGAAUUUCUUAGGAGACAAAGCACUAGACUGGAUUAACUGAGGUUGGAAGAGCACUCUAAAUAAAGACAGCAUCGUUCCAUGGGGUCCAGUACUGAAGAUAAAGGAGCACAGGUACUAAUGCCAGCACUUGGCCUCUCUGCUCCGACUGUGGACCAAAUGGCAACAGCUGCUUCAGGCCCUCCCACCACCCUGAUAUCCUGUAUUUCAAACUGUGACUCCAAAUGAACCAUUCUUUAAGUUGCUUCUGUGAGAUACUUUGUCAUAGCAAUGGAAGAAGAAGAUACACACUUCUAGUCCCUUUGUAGAGUUCUGCGGAUCAUUACACACCCACACAUGGCAAACGUUAAAUUUCAAACCUCUGACCCAAAACAGUGAAUUUCUGCUCAGUUUGUAUUUUUCACCCUUUGCUUCAUAACAUAGUUAAAAUUUUGUUUUACCUUUAUAAUGGAGUUUUUUUCAAAAACAUUUUUGUUGUUUAACCAUAAAGCUAAGCAACAAUUAUGCGUGACUAAGACAAGCCAUCUCAUAUUUACUUCCCUUAGAUCCUCUAGUUCACAGACCACCACCUAGGCUAGCAAGAACUAGGUUUCGGGGGCUAUCUAAAACGUCACAAUCAAGAGGUCAAGAGUGUGAGAGGGCAUCAAGGUUGAAGACAGGGUGUCCUACCUGCCUGGUCCUGAGUCAUGGACCCUGGGUUGAAGAUCAACAGUAAGUGAGGAUUAGUCAACUUUUGGCCAAGUGGAAAUUAAACCACAUGAUUCUUGUUGCCUCCCUGCUGACCCUGCUGGCUUUCUCACUACCAGAUCCUUGCUUAAAGAAGGCUUGCUUAAAGAAGUCUGCUCAGAAUUUUGUGUGAAUAUGUUACAGCAAGGAUUUCUCUUACCUUAGCUGGUAGACUGAGACACUGGUAUAUACAGUCACUUUAAAUAUUUCUCAUUGGUGACCUUUAUUGACUGUACCUGCUGUGUGUUCCUACCCCCAAGCUUUGACAUUUCAUGUGUUUCCAUGUUGUGUUGGCAUAAUCAAACCCUUCAGUUCACAAUGUUUCAUACAUGCCAAUCUUUAUUGACUAGUUUUCAGUUGUCAAGAAUUCUUCCCACUCAACCAUCUCUGUGUUAGUUUGCAGUCAACUCUCCUGUAGGCCAAUUUAACACUGUAAAAUUAGAGGAGCAUGAGGAGUUCCAGAGAUCGUGACUUCUCCCCCCUUGCCCAUCCCAACUGUUCAGAAACUAUAUUACUGGAUAUGUGGGCAGAUGAUUUAUAGUCCAAGACUUACACAGAUGAUUAUAGCCGCAGGGGACAGUGAAAGAGGUGCAGAGUAGCCUCACAGAUUGUGUAGAGGAAGUAGGAAGAGUAAUGGCUCAGUGGGUAAGAGUACCCGACUGCUCUUCCGAAGGUCCGGAGUUCAAAUCCCAGCAACCACAUGGUGGCUCACAACCAUCUGUAACAAGUGACUCCCUCUUCUGGUAUGUCUGAAGACAGCUACAGUGUACUUACAUAUAAUAAAUAAAUCUUUAAAAAAAAAAAGAUUAAAAGUGGAACUGAGGGAGAGUAAGUUGUGGGGAUGGCUUCUGCCUUUGGAACUCUUUGGACAAUGCGUCUUGUCCUGACGUGUUCAUGGCUUACUCUGUUGGGGAGCACUUUGUAAUAACCGGGAAUGGCUCCAUACACCUGCCUCUAAUGACUCUCUUGGAAAUUACAUCUUAUUUUAAAGGCUUGGUAUGCCUUUGAUAGCUUAGCUUUAAGACUGCUUCCGAAAUAUUAAACUAGGAAAGAAGUCAUAAACUAGCUAAUAGAAACUUUGCAGAUAAUGAAAGAAGUGGAAGCAGCUUAGAGCAAGACUGAUCAGAGCAAGACCGGCCUGUCCACUUUCUAAGAAACAGCAACAGGAAGAUGUCUGGCCAUUGAUUGAUUGAGACACAGAGCAGCAAGCAGGUGAAGCAACAGGGUCAGAGCAGAAAGUUACUGAAAAGUUUUGUUGUUUUUCAUUAUUUUUAUUUUUUGCACGUGUGGCCGGUUUUACUUUUGUUAAGUUAAGGAAUCAGCCAGCAGAGGGCUCUCAAAGGAACUUGAGUUCUCUUAAAUAUUCAGGUGAUAUCUUUGAGCUUUUAGUUCUUUUCUGUACUAAACGUUUUGAAAAGGGUAACCAAAACGAGUGAGCUGGUGACACAAUAGGCUAAAGCCUCAGCGUGCAUCACUAAUACUGAAUCUCAGCGAAAGGUCAGUAGGUGGCACAUGUCUGCAGCCACAGGUCCUGUUUCCUGUCCCACUUGUAGACAGUGCUGAGGUUCUUGUAGGUGGCACAUGUCUGCAGCACACAGGUCCCGUUUCCUGUACCCACUUGUAGACAGUGCUGAGGUUCUUGUAGGUGGCACAUGUCUGCAGCACACAGGUCCCGUUUCCUGUACCCACUUGUAGACAGUGCUGAGGUUCUUGUAGGUGGCACAUGUCUGCAGCCACAGGUCCUGUUUCCUGUACCCACUUGUAGACAGUGCUGAGGUUCUUGUAGGUGGCACAUGUCUGCAGCACACAGGUCCUGUUUCCUGUACCCACUUGUAGACAGUGCUGAGGUUCUUGUAGGUGGCACAUGUCUGCAGCCACAGGUCCUGUUUCCUGUACCCACU